UACAGAGGGUGCAAGCGUUAAUCGGAAUUACUGGGCGUAAAGCGUGUGUAGGUGGUUUUCUAAGUCAGGUGUGAAAUCCCCGGGCUCAACCUGGGAAUUGCAUUUGAUACUGGAAGACUCGAGUGUGGUAGAGGAUGGUGGAAUUCCCGGUGUAGCGGUGAAAUGCGUAGAUAUCGGGAGGAACAUCAGUGGCGAAGGCGGCCAUCUGGACCAACACUGACACUGAGACACGAAAGCGUGGGGAGCAAACAGG
rnacentral:rRNA from 1 species